rnacentral:lncRNA from 1 species
GUGUGGACAACUAUGAGGGGGAUAGGUGGUAACAGCUCAUAGGAUACCAAAAGGAAAAUAAAAUAAAAAGACUCCCUAGAAUCUCCACCCAACGGUUACCUCACGCAGUAAGUGCCCUCACUCACUUUAUGGCUCUCUCUUUGGAAAAAUAAAUAAAAAGAAAAUAAAAAAAACCUCUAAAGUCUCCACCCAACGGACACUCACCUCACGCCUCUCUCUCUCCUCACACUCCCUCACGUCACUUCUCUGACUCCACUAAAAAGGCACUCACUCAUUUAUGACCCUUCACCUACCACUCUCACACUUCUCUCUCAGGCUCUCUCUCACCUGAUACCACUCAUUUUUCUCUCAUUGACCUCUCUCCACUAUCUCUUGGCCACAAAAAACAAAACAGAAAGAAAAAUAAAAGGAUUAUUGUACCUCUUCUUCAUUCCCCGUCUCCACCACGACUCCAACCUCCAAACCAUCUGCG